rnacentral:rRNA from 1 species
CCUACGGGAGGCAGCAGUGGGGAAUCUUGCGCAAUGGGCGAAAGCCUGACGCAGCAACGCCGCGUGCGGGAAGAAGGCUUUCGGGCUGUAAACCGCUUUCAGCAGGAACGAAAAUGACGGUACCUGCAGAAGAAGGAGCGGCCAACUAUGUGCCAGCAGCCGCGGUGAUACAUAGGCUUCAAGCGUUGUCCGGAUUUAUUGGGCGUAAAGAGUUCGUAGGCGGUCGAGUAAGUCGGGUGUGAAAAUUCUGGGCUCAACCCAGAGACGCCACCCGAUACUGCUUGACUUGAGUUCGAUAGGGGAGUGGGGAAUUCCUAGUGUAGCGGUGAAAUGCGCAGAUAUUAGGAGGAACACCGGUGGCGAAGGCGCCACUCUGGAUCGAUACUGACGCUGAGGAACGAAAGCAUGGGUAGCAAACAGGAUUAGAUACCCUGGUAGUCCAUGCCGUAAACGGUGGGCACUAGGUGUGGGUUUCUAUUAACGAAAUCCGCGCCGUCGCUAACGCAUUAAGUGCCCCGCCUGGGGAUACGGUCGCAAGACUAAAACUUAAAUGAAUUGACGG